rnacentral:rRNA from 1 species
AUACGUAGGGUGCGAGCGUUGUCCGGAAUUACUGGGCGUAAAGAGCUCGUAGGUGGUUUGUCGCGUCGUCUGUGAAAUUCCGGGGCUUAACUCCGGGCGUGCAGGCGAUACGGGCAUAACUUGGGUACUGUAGGGGAGACUGGAAUUCCUGGUGUAGCGGUGAAAUGCGCAGAUAUCAGGAGGAACACCGGUGGCGAAGGCGGGUCUCUGGGCAGUAACUGACGCUGAGGAGCGAAAGCAUGGGUAGCGAACAGGAUUAGAUACCCUGGUAGUCCAUGCCGUAAACGGUGGGCGCUAGGUGUAGGGGUCUUCCACGACUUCUGUGCCGUAGCUAACGCAUCAAGCGCCCCGCCUGGGGAGUACGGCCGCAAGGCUAAAACUUAAAGGAAUUGACGGGG